rnacentral:rRNA from 1 species
UGCAGAAUCCCGUGAACCAUCGAGUCUUUGAACGCAAGUUGCGCCCGAGACCAUCAGGUCAAGGGCACGUCUGCUUGGGCGUCACGCCUUUGUCACUCCAAACACGUGUAAACCAUUACGUGCGUAUUGGUGUGUGUAGAUGUGGAUAUUGACCCUUUGUGCUUUCGUUGUGCGGCGGGUUUGAGUGAUGGUCGUUGCUAUGUUUUGCAUGCGACGAAAGGUGGAUAGAUUGUGCGCAUCAAGCCUCCAGUUGUGCAUAAGACCCCUAGCCACGACUUACAAGAAGUAAAACCGAUGACGAUGUUUGCACAUUUUGCAGGCUCGGACCAUGACCUCAGGUCAGGCGGGGGCACCCGCUGAGUUUAAGCAUAUCAAUAAGCGGAGGAGAAGAAACUUACAAGGAUUCCCAUAGUAACGGCGAGCGAACUGGGAGAAGCCCAGCUUGGGAAUUAGGUGGUUAUGCCACCUAA